GGUGAAGUUAGCUUGGAUUGAAUUUUCUGUCAUUUGAAAUAGAAUCCUAAUUGAUACACUUGUCUCCAAUACCUGUUCAAAGCCUUAGUGAGGCAUAGCUCAAGAGAUCCUCCAGCCUCGGCCUCCAGUCCAAGUAGCUGUAGCUCCAGGUAAAACCUGGCUGUGCCCUGUUGAAAUCAAUUCUGUUGCAGUCAUAUGCGGUGGAAUCUGUUCUUCUUUUGCAUCCUACGUAACCAGACCAAGCUGUGGGGUGAGUGCUUUUCUUGUUCUCCAGUGCCAUUUUCAGACCUGUUGUCUUCCUGCAUCCUUCCAAACCCCAGGCUCUGUUAAAGUUGUGCCAUCAGAGUUUUUUGGGUUUCUGUAAAGAUGAGAUCUCACUAUGUUGUCCAGGCUGGUCUUGAACUCCUGGCCUCAAGCAGUCCUCCUGCCUUGGACUCCCAAAGUGCUGAGAUUACAGACAUGAGCCAUCACACCUGGCCCUGUGCCAUCAGACUUUGGCACCUAUUCCCCUUCCUUGUUGCUGUCAUCUAGAGAAUUCAGUUAACUUUAUUCUUUGAUAAAUUUAGCACCUGGCUCAUUGGGGCUUUUUUCAUUAUUAUUCUGAUGUUAUUCUCACUCACUUCCUUCUUUCUGACUUCAAUGCCCACUCAAAUAUUACAUCUAAUACCUUAGACUCCAGUUUCCAGAUCCUCCCACCUUACAAUAGAAUGAUAUAAUUCUUCACCGACCAUCAGCUAUCCACUCCUGUCUAAGGUCAUACUUCUGACCUUGUAAUCAUCAAUAAGUCCAUCAUCUCCAGUAUCUCUAGUACCAGCAUCCCAUUCUUUGACUAUUGUCUUCUAUCCUAAAAGCUCACUAAACCAAGAAUAUCUAUACAAACAAUAUCUUGCCUUUAUUAAGACUCUCUAAUCUGGUGAGUUUAUGACUGAAUCACUAUCAAUCUGUCCUCUUCAGGUACUCCCUUCCUUAUUCACUCACCUUAGACUCUGUAAUACAUUAUUAAGCCACUGUUUGAUAACACCCUUCACUCCCUUGCCUCUGCCACCCUCCUUCACCUUAGCCGAGCUGCAACCCUCUUAUACCCAAUGGUCCCCAUGCAACAACACAACUGAACACUGGUGAAGACAAAAACGUAUGCUUGCUAGCAUCACUUUAAAUUCUGGCUAUAAAUCUCAAGUGGGUAGUCAAGAGCAGUAUUAUUAAACCUGUAGGACUUUUGCAUUCCCACUUUCCAAAAUGAUAAUUUCACCUCAUGUCUUAACUCCUUAAAUCUCCUGACCCAUUUUACUGUUCAUAGUCUCAGCUUAUAACAUUGCUUCAUAAAUCAUUGAGAAAAUAGAAGUAGUUUGACAAGAAUUCCCUCACCUUUCCAAUCAAAUAUUAUCUAUCCUCCUCACUCUAUACCUAUUUUCUGCCUGCUCAAUUUAUUGUAGAGCAACUGUCUCUGCUGCUGUCACUGGUACACUCUCUGGUUUUACUCUGGAAUUCAUGCCCCCCUCACCUUAUUAAAGGUUUUGUUUCUCAAUUCUCUGCUCAUUCUUCCCUGAAUCAUCACUUCUUUCCUCAAUCACUCCCAUUGUCAUAUACCAGUUCUAAUAAUUCCUUUCUUACACACACACAAACACACUGACAACUAAAACAAUAAUAAUAGCAAAAAGAGCAGCAAAAAGACCUUCACUUCACCUUCCAUCCUUUUCCAGCGGUCUCCUGUGUCUCAGCUUAAAUGUUUUCCCAGGGGGUCUUCCUCGUCCACCCAUUUAAAAGUAGCAGCUCAGUUAUUUUUUAUCAUAUUAUUCAAUUUGAAGUCUCUUCAUUGCAUUUAUCACUCUCUUAUGUGUGUAUAUGUUAAUGUUUGUUUACUGUUUUUCUCCACCUCCCCCCAUAUUACAUAAGCUCUGGGAGUGCAAGUGUCUUCUGUCUUUUCAUGUCUGUAAUCUCAGCACACAUGAUAGGCGAAGAAAGUCCUCAAUAAUAAUCUUUGAGUGAGUGAACGAAUGAAUGAAUGAAUGACUCUGUGUGUGUGUGUGUGUGUGUGUGUGUGUGUGUGUGUGUGUGUGUGUCUACAACUAGACCAUAGGAUUCACCAGGGCAAGGACUUUGUGUCUUAUAAGUCUUUGUAGUUGGUGUUUAAUAAACACUUGUUGCAUGAGUGAGUGAAUCAUUGCUCUAAAUGAGCAAUAAUCUAAAGAUAAAAGUUAUUAACAUGAUGUUCCGCUUUUAAAAUUUGCAUUGGCAUUUUUACUUUAACAAAAUCAAAAUGAUUUCUUUUAGGAUUAUACUAAUUCCUUUUAAACUAGUGCUAAUUUGUGUGACUUAUCCAUAUGCAUCUAAAUUAAUUUUUCUAACUUUAACUAGAGCUUAUAAAUAAAUAAGUAUACAUAUAUGUAUGUAGAUGGAUGGCUAUAUAUACACCUACCCACACAUAUAUAAAACAUAUGUUAGUCCUGUUCUAAGGAUCUGCCAAACUUUCUUGGUAAGACUUGCCAAUUGCAAUCAUGUGACAGGAUGACAGUUCUCUUCUCUGGGAGAAGUCCAGACUUCCAGUGUCUGGGACAGAAAUAAUGUAGACCAAGAAACAUAUAUAGCUGAUGAUGGAUGAUUUUUGGCUCUCAUAAUGUGAGGUUUGGUCUUCUUAUUGGGAGACUAUGAAAAUCAUUAGAUCAGAAAUUAUUUUUAUUUCUACUCAGUUGAAAGAAGUUUUCCUUCUAGUAUUUCUGUAUGCAGGCAUACUGCAAAGACAAUUUGCUUGGUCAAUAUGGGUUUAUACUAAACUCUACAACUCAAAGAUAGGAUGAGAUCCUUUUGCCAGUGUAGCUGUCUUAUUUUUAUUGGCAUAGUGACUGUGUGUCCAAAUAUACACCAAUUAUAGAUGUUUUCCUGUUGUCAGUAAUAUGGUACUGUUUAAGAGUGAAGACGUUUUCACUCUCAGGCAAAACUGAUUCUGAGGACAUGACAGGGAUACUUCAGUGAUUGCAUUUAUGCGCACAGAGGAGGUUAACAGUUAGGAAUGCUUUCAGUGGUAAGCAACAAAAUAAUUAGCAGUGCUUCAACAAAUUGGGGCUCAGUGGCUCAAUGACAUAAAGAGUGCCAUCUUUGCAAUUCCAAUGACCUUCCUGUCAAAGUCGAAUGAUGGCUGCAGUGCAAAAGUGUCCUAGCACACCUGUCCUAGCAAGUGUGCUUUUGCUAGGUCAGGUGUGCUAGAAGCAGGAGGUGGUGUGGACAGGUGAGUUUCUCUUUUUGCUUAUAUUCUCUUAUCAAGGAGAUAAAAACACUUAUCCUCCAACAAACUCCUCCAACAAACUUCCCUUUACAUCUUAUUGCCUCUUAAUUUGUCCCAUGACAGUUCCUAGACCAGCUGCCGAAGCUACCUUUCCUGAGAACUAAAAUCCUUGCCUGAUUUCUGAACAAAUGGGGCCUCCACUUGAAAGAGUGGAUAGAGGAAUGGUUUUUGUGAUGGCAAGGAAUAGAGCCUGCCACAGCGGGCUAACAACCACACUCAUGAAGUUUCAUGGAGGAGAUCUUGCUUAUGUUGAAUUCAACAGAAGCCGACAGGUAAUACAGUUGAGAAAGGUUGAAAAGGCAGAGAGAGAGAGCUGCUUCUGCAAGUGUAUUGAACAAUCAAAGGCAAAUAAUUCGUUACAGCUGGGCAUUCUGUACAUGUAGAUUAGUGAGAGAUGACUGCAGAGGUCAGCAGACCUCGUGCCAUAAAGACAACAUGGAAGCAGGGAGUCAAGUUCUCAUACCUUUGGGCAUUCAUUCUGAAAUUGCUAAAGAAGCAAAUAAAUGUCUGUCUGGGCUUUCCCGCCAUACAUGACUGAGAAUAUCCAGACAUUUCUCUAUAUUAAAGAAAAAGGAGAGAGCAGUCAUUACUUAGAAUGUCUUUUUGUGCUUGCGCGCACGUGCUCUCUCUCUCUCUCUCUCCCCCUAGCUAAACCUUGGCUGGGGAGUUUUCUGCAUUUUGCUAAGCUAGAUUGUACUCAAUGGGUUAUAGAGCCCCAGAAGAUUUUUCAGCUACACUUCGCCCACUAAAACCUUUGGAGAAAAGAGGCUGAAUGCUUGCAGUGAAACUAGUCCUGCUACCCUAAUCAUUGUUGAUCAGGCCAAGAAACCAGUACCUGAACCCAAAUUUGUCCCAGUAAGAACUCACCAUAUUGGGUAAAGACAAACCAACAAAAUUAGAUCUCCUCACCUUGAGAAGGGAAACUGAAUGAGAGAUGUAUGCUAGAAAUGUCAGUAGCAGAAGCAACGUGCAGAGGAGGAAGGAGAGAGGGCAGAGGAGGAAGGAGAGAGGGCAGAGGGAAAGAGCUAGAGAGAAAAAGAAAAAGAGGAAAGUGAACAACAGCUGGGCUCUGGAAAUUAACAUAAUAAGUCUCUGGCUAUUGGAAACUGAGGAGGAAAAAAGAACACAGAAAGUGUCAAUCAACUCUCAGACAAUUCUUUAGUGACAUGGACCAUAUUAUCAUGAUUAUCUUCAGUUCAUAGGAAUCAUUAAAUCUAUUCCCAAAAUGCAAUCUAAUAUUCUCCCAAGGAAUAUAAUAUAUUCAAAUAAAAUUAUUGACAAAGGUUACAAUCGUAAAUUAUUUAUCAGGUUGAAUUACUCCCCACCUUCCAGGGAAGUCUCAGGUUGAGGUCUUUGGAAAUAGUCAUGCCACUGUUUCCUCUUUGAGUUUAUGGUUAAUGGCACAGAGAGAAGUCUUUUCUUCCCUGGGUAGUUCUGAGUAAGAAAACAAUAGUCAAACUUGAAUGUAAUCACUGAGGCAACAAGAGAAAGAAAAGUAAUGUUUAGUUAACAGAACUGCAGACCGGAAGAGACAGGAUUCAUGGAUCUGCCAAGGUGAGGAAUACAGCCUGAAAUGCAAAUAGAAGCAGAUUGGAGAACAGGAAAGAAACUUCUGGAGAAAGCAGGCAAAGGGACCUGUUCCAAUGGAAGCACACUUUAUGUCUCCCAGAAUAGUAGUUCCCCAUCCUGGCUUCCUGUCAGAAUUACCUGCAGUUCGUUUCAAAAAAAACACAUUUCCAGAACUUGCUCAAUUCCUGCUGAAUCAAAAUAUGACUUUUUAUGCAGCUGGCCUGUCACCUACACAUGAUGAACUUUUUCCUGUCCAGAGGAAAAUAUCCAUGAUGAUGGCAAAAGUCCUUUCUUGAGAGCUGUCUUUUAUUCUCGGACUAAGGUCAUCUUAAUUUUUUAUUAUAAUAUUCUUCCUUUUAUGAAAUUGUUAUGACAAAACAUGAUGAGGUUUUUUUUAAUGUUCUUACUUAGCAAAAUAAAAAUUAGCAAAACUAUUGCUAGGUCUAUGACCUUGGAUGGUUCACCAAAAUCACCAUCACUAGUUCCUGAUUUUAAAAUCAGAGUAGUAAAACCUGGCUGGGCACGGUGGCUCACACCUGUAAUCCAAGCACUUUGGGAAGCCAAGGCAGGUGGAUCGCCUAAGGUCAGGAGUUGGGAGACUAGCCUGGCCUAACACGGUGAAACCCUGUCUCUACUAAAAAUAUAAAAAGUAGCCUGGCGUGGUGGCGAGCACCUGUAAUCCCAGCUACUCCGGAGGCUGAGGCAGGAGAAUCACUUGAACCCGGGAGGCAGAGGUUGCAGUGAGCCGAGAUCGUGCCAUUGCACUCCAGCCUGGGUAACAAGAGCGAAACUCCGUCUCAAAAAAAAAAAAAAAAAAAAAAAAAAAAAAGAGUAGUAAAACUUAACAGCAUUGUUUUGUGUAGAUUAUAGGAAAUAACAUGUAUAAUACAACUGGUACAUAAGAAACACCCAAUAUGUUCUCUAUGUUAUCAGGUAAAAUACUUUGGUUUGACUCUUGUUACUCAAAUGAUAGGAUGAUUUACUGUUUCAGGUAAGUGAAACGUCUUGACAUUGUGAUUGGCGUCCAGUCUCCUUCAAACAGGACUCUGCUUUUCUAUGAUUCUUUCUGUUGUCCCUUCCACUAUGUUUUGUAUUUGCCUCUGGUCUAGCUUCUCAAGGUAGCCUCCAGGAUGCACAGAGUGAGAGAGGAUGCUUUUCCCUAAACCAGGAACAAAAUUCCAGCCCUAAGGAGAUUGGACCACUCCCGACCAAUGAGUUUGGCCAGGGAGGUCAUGCACUGAUUGGCUCAGCCCUGGAUCAGUCUACUUCUCAACCAAUCAAGGUGCUAAGGAAACAGGAUUACCCUAAACGAUUUAACACACCGGGACUCAUUCCUGAAGCUGGAGAUGCUGUAACACAAUCAAAACUGUAAGGCUUAAAAGAAUUAAAGUAGGAAUUGCCGCAAUUCCCUUCCUAGACUUAUUCCCAAAUAUACUUACUAUGGACUACCUGCAUACAGCAGCCCCUUCACAUAUUUUUACUGCCUGUCAUAAAGUAGUCUGGGUUACAUUUAAAGAAGCUGCCAGCACUUAAUGCAUAGAAGUACUAAAAAUUUGUUACUGAUGUUUGAAAAAUAUAGAAAAUUAGAAGCGGAA